rnacentral:rRNA from 1 species
UACAGAGACUGCAAGCGUUAUUCGGAUUCACUGGGCGUAAAGGGUGCGCAGGUGGCCCGGGUGUGUCAGAUGUGAAAUCCCCGAGGCUUAACCUCGGAACUGCGUCUGAAACUACUCGGCUAGAGUACUGGAGAGGGUAACGGAAUUCACGGUGUAGCAGUGAAAUGCGUAGAUAUCGUGAGGAACACCAGAGGCGAAGGCGGUUACCUGGACAGUUACUGACACUCAGGCACGAAAGCAUGGGGGAGCAAAAGGG